rnacentral:sRNA from 1 species
AUGACACCUUACGAAAACUGAUGAUAUAAAGCGGAUGGUGUGGCCUGAACGACAUAACGUUAAGCAGCACCAUCCGAGGACUAACAGAAAGAAAGAAACAUCAAGAAAUAAGAAAUAAAGAAAAGCUAAGUAAGAAACAAAAGCAACAAAGUCCAACGCAAGAAUGGCGACAUCAACACUCCUCGCUCUCCUGAUGGUAAUAGUAGUGAUCGGUACAUGUGAAGGAAGAGGAACAAGAUAU